rnacentral:rRNA from 1 species
ACUCCUACGGGAGGCAGCAGUGGGAAUAUUGCACAAUGGGCGCAAGCCUGAUGCAGCCAUGCCGCGUGUAUGAAGAAGGCCUUCGGGUUGUAAAGUACUUUCAGUUCGUGAGGAAGGUAGUGUAGUUAAAUAGCUGUAUUAUUUUGACGUUUAGCGACAGAAGAAGCACCGGCUAACUCCGUGCCAGCAGCCGCGGUAAUACGGAGGGUGCGAGCGUUAAUCGGAAUUACUGGGCGUAAAAGCGCAUGCAGGUGGUUUGUUAAGUCAGAUGUGAAAGCC